GUCAAUUCAAAUAAGAAUGAGGCCAAACUUAUGAAAUAAGUUUUCAGAGCCUCUUGAAUGUUAGAAUUGCAGAUUGUGGACUGGCUGUGGGCCUUGCUCCUGAUUUCAUACGUUGCUUUGUUGUUUUGACUUGACAGGCUGUAUCGCAUCCAUUGAAUACUGUGACCGAGGACAUGUACACCAACGGGUCUCCUGCCCCAGGUAGCCCUGCCCAGGUCAAGGGACAGGAGGUGCGGAAAGUGCGACUCAUACAGUUUGAGAAGGUCACAGAAGAGCCCAUGGGAAUCACUCUGAAGCUGAAUGAAAAACAGUCCUGUACGGUGGCCAGAAUUCUUCAUGGUGGCAUGAUCCAUAGACAAGGCUCCCUUCACGUGGGGGAUGAGAUCCUAGAAAUCAAUGGCACAAAUGUGACAAAUCAUUCAGUGGAUCAGCUGCAGAAGGCGAUGAAAGAAACCAAAGGAAUGAUCUCAUUAAAAGUAAUUCCCAACCAGCAAAGCCGUCUUCCUGCACUACAGAUGUUCAUGAGAGCGCAGUUUGACUAUGAUCCCAA
rnacentral:sRNA from 1 species